GAGGCCGGACUGGCUGGGACCAGGGCGGGCCGGGACAAAGCCUGGGCCGGGCCUGCGCUUCCGUUCGCUUGACUGGCUGCGCUUGUUUUCAGGGUUUUGGUCUGAAAACGGAUCUUACCUGCGCAGAGCAAAAUCGGUUGUAGAUUAUAUCCACGAAAAUUCCUUCUAUUAAAAUGAAUUUCAAGUCCCACCUACCCUGGAAGCAGAAAGAGAGAGAAGAGAGAGAGUAAAGAGAAAGAGAAAAGAAAGAGAAGUUGAAAAAGAGAAAGAAAACCAAGAAAGAAAGAGAAAAAAACCGAAAAUAAAUGGACAAGAAAGAAAAGUCACUGGGAUCCUGGACUACGGCACUGCUCCAGGCAGGCCUGGUUAUCCUGCUUGAGGCAGCAAUCCUCUUGAGCCUAGUGAAAUGCAACUGGCUGUACCUCAAUGAUGUUGCCCUGAGAUUCUGCCAGUCGAGGUAUUACUUCAAUCUCCUGAGACCAGCCUCUACCUCCAGAUCCAGGGAGGCCAACGUGCCAUGCAUCCCUGGAGCAUGAAACCCAGGAUGGGCCGCCUUCCAGCCUCCCACAGCUGUGAUGCAAGUUGAACACAUACAGAGAGACUGCAUCUGCACUGGGUGGUUUUCCUGAGCCUUGGGGAGCAGAAUGCAUGAAUCCCAGGUAUCUGCCGAUCUGUAUGUAACAAAUUCACUUCAUGUAACUUACUGUGUGUCCGUGAGAUUAUCUCUCACUCAACUCAGACACAUUGGCAACCAGUGUGCAGUGAACCUGCUUCACAAGCAAGGAUGUGGAGAAACUAUUUUCGUACAUUUUGUGGGAAUCUGAAAUACUGCGGUCAGUAUGGAAAGCAGUAUCAUGGGAAACUUCCUCAACUCAAGAUCACCUACCAAUCCUUACAGAAUCAGAAUCAUCAUACAAACUGGUGAAAGCAUAGUUUCCCCUAGAGGUUGGGAUGAGGGCAAGAAUGUCCCCUCUUAUCACUACUAUUCCACACAAUAUGAAAGGUUCCAGCCAGUGAAAUAAAGGAAAAAGAAAUAAAAGUGACAGGCUGGGUGUGGUGUCUGAGGCCUGUAAUCACAGUGCUUUGGGAGGCUGAGGAAGGAGGGUGGCCUGAGGACAGGACAAAAAAAAUAGUGUACCAACAGAAAAUAUGUUGGUUGUGCAGGCUAAUACCUUUCCCAAAGGAAGGUAGCUACAUCCCUAUGACCUGUGUUACUGGAUAUAUCAAAAGGGAGUUUGCAAAUGUGGUCUAGAUAAGGAUCUUUAGAUAGACAUCCUGAAUUAUAUGGUCAAAGUGAUAGAAUCACAAGGUUCAAUAUCAGAAGGGUGCAGGUGGAUGCGAAGGGACAGAGACAGUGGUGAUGUGUUGAAAAUAGAGGGAUAAAGAGAUUUUUUUUCUCACCUUUAAAGAUGGAGGAAGUGGACCAUGAGUCAAAGGAUGUAAGUGGCCUCUGGAACCUACAAAGGGUAAGGAAACAAAUUCUCCCCUGGAGAUUAAUGAAGAAUCACAGAACUAUGGACCCAUAUUAGAUAUGUGACUUACAGAAUUAUAAAAGAAUAAAUUUUUCUUGUUUUAAGCCAAUCACUGUGUAUAGCAAUAGGAAACUGAUGAAAUGAUUUUAUGUAGAAAAUUCCAAAAAAAUCUACAAAAAUCUCUAGAACAAGAAAAAUGUAAAGGUAGCAAAGUAUAAGGUCAACCUACAAAAAUAUCGUAUAUUUCAUCAGCCAGGCAUGGUGGCUCGUGCCUGUAAUCCCAGCACUUUGGGAGGCCAAGGCAGGCAGAUCACUCAAGCUCAGGAGUUUGAGACCAGGCUGGGUAACAUGGUGAAACCCCAUCUCUACAAAACACAAAAAUUUAACAGGCCAUGGUGGCACAUGCCUGCAGUGCCAGCUACUGGGGAAGCUGAGGUGGGAGGAUGACUUAAGCCUGCAGGACACAGGUUGCAGUAGCUGAGAUUGCUCCACUGCACUCCAGCCAGGAUGACAGAGUAAGGCCCUGUCUCAAAAUAAUAAUAAUAAUAAUCUUGUAUAUUUCUAUACACUAGCAAUUUGCACAUGAAACCUGAUAUUAAAAAUAAAAUACUAUGUAUGAUUGCUCCAUUAAGAAAAAGGUCAAAGAGGCCGGGUGCAGUGGCUUACACCUGUAAUCCCAGCACUUUGGGAGGCCAAGGCAGGUGGACUACGAGGUCAGGAGAUCGAGACUAUCCUGGCUAACACGGUGAAACCCCAUCUCUACUAAGAAAAUACAAAAAAAUUAGCCAGGUGUGGUGGCGGGUGCCUGUAGUCCCAGCUACUGGGGAGGCCGAGGCAGGAGAAUGGCGUGAACUCAGGAGGCGGAGCUUGCAGUGAGCUGAGAUCGCGCCACUGCACUCCAGCC
rnacentral:lncRNA from 1 species